CCGACCCGCCCCCUGGCUGCUACAGGCCGGCGCGCAGCGCACCCCGCUCGGCCGGCGCCACGCAUGCGCCUUAGGAGAGGGAGUGUAAAGACUGGGCAAUAGAAGAAGCUUCCUGCAACCUCCUAAUACCCUGAAGAUUAACAUUUAUCAUGCUGAGAUUUGGGCAGCACCUCAUUAAGCCCUCCGUGGUCUUCCUGAAGACUGAGCUCUCCUUUGCUCUGGUGAACCGCAAGCCGGUGGUCCCAGGACGUAUCCUUCCAAGCAGCGCCUUGAUGAUGGGUGCCGGCGCUCUGGGGAAAACGGCAGAAGCUCGGUGCGCUUUGAAGGCCAGACAGAGCAGGAGGUGAAGUGAGAGCCUUGACUAC
rnacentral:lncRNA from 1 species